rnacentral:rRNA from 1 species
UAACCGGAUUAGAUACCCUGGUAGUCCACGCCCUAAACGAUGCGAACUGGAUGUUGGGUGCAAUUUGGCACGCAGUAUCGAAGCUAACGCGUUAAGUUCGCCGCCUGGGGAGUACGGUCGCAAGACUGAAACUCAAAGGAAUUGACGGGGGCCCGCACAAGCGGUGGAGUAUGUGGUUUAAUUCGAUGCAACGCGAAGAACCUUACCUGGCCUUGACAUGUCGAGAACUUUCCAGAGAUGGAUGGGUGCCUUCGGGAACUCGAACACAGGUGCUGCAUGGCUGUCGUCAGCUCGUGUCGUGAGAUGCUGGGUUAAGUCCCGCAACGAGCGCAACCCUUGUCCUUAGUUGCCAGCACGUAAUGGUGGGAACUCUAAGGAGACCGCCGGUGACAAACCGGAGGAAGGUGGGGAUGACGU